CACAAAUGACGUCACAUUCGAAAUUCUAAAACAGCACACAAAAAAAUGACGUCACAUACUCUUGAAUGACUAAAACUGCUUCUCAAAAAUAAAUUAGAAAUAGGAUUGAUUUAAGAUUAUAUUUGUACUAAAUACUGAUAUUACAUUUAAUAACAAUGAAAAUUGCACUACUUAUUAAUAUUAAACCGAGGAAGCAAUUAGACAAUUAACUUUAUCCCCGGCUUAGUAUAUAUAUAGGAUUUUGAUUGGUUAACGCACGUCGUUCCAAAACCCAUAGCCC
rnacentral:lncRNA from 1 species